rnacentral:rRNA from 1 species
GCGGAGGAAAAGAAACCAACAGGGAUUGCCCUAGUAACGGCGAGUGAAGCGGCAACAGCUCAAAUUUGAAAUCUGGCCCUCGCGGCCCGAGUUGUAAUUUGCAGAGGAUGCUUUUGGCGCGGCGCCUUCCGAGUUCCCUGGAACGGGACGCCAGAGAGGGUGAGAGCCCCGUACGGUUGGACGCCUAGCCUAUAUAUAGCUCCUUCGACGAGUCGAGUAGUUUGGGAAUGCUGCUCUAAAUGGGAGGUAAAUUUCUUCUAAAGCUAAAUACCGGCCAGAGACCGAUAGCGCACAAGUAGAGUGAUCGAAAGAUGAAAAGCACUUUGAAAAGAGGGUUAAAUAGCACGUGAAAUUGUUGAAAGGGAAGCGUUUGCGACCAGACCUUUUCCGGGCGGAUCAUCCGGUGUUCUCACCGGUGCACUUCGCCCGGUCUAGGCCAGCAUCGGUUUCCUUAGGGGGAUAAAGGCCUGGGGAACGUAGCUCUCUAGGGAGUGUUAUAGCCCCUGGCGCAAUACCCCUCGGGGGACCGAGGACCGCGCUCUGCAAGGAUGCUGGCGUAAUGGUCGUCAACGACCCGU